AUCUCCUCUAUGAGUAAUCAUGUGAGGUGCCAGAUCUAUGGCGUUUCCCUAAUGUAUCCGGAUGCACCCUUGUCUUGGCAGAAAGCCGUGGUGAGGUGCAGUGGCGGAAUCGUGGUUUAAUAAUCGGGUUGGUACUCAGUUGUCAGUGUGUUUGGCGAUCCCCUAGUCGGCACACUUAUGAUUUCUGGGAUAAUUCCAUACCAGGCACGUUCCGUCACUGUCACUUUGUCAUUGGUUUGAUGCUGAACUUGGUCAUGUGUCUGAUGCUAUUUUCAUAUAGCGACGGUACCCUUCGUGGUCUGUCUUCCUGACCUCGGUUCAGACGUGAUUACCCGCUGAACUUAAGCAUAUCA
rnacentral:rRNA from 1 species